rnacentral:rRNA from 1 species
GAUGAACGCUGGCGGCGUGCUUAACACAUGCCAGUCGAACGGUGAAGGCGGAGCUUGCUCUGCUGGAUCAGUGGCGAACGGGUGAGUAACACGUGAGCAAUCUGCCCCUGACUCUGGGAUAAGCGCUGGAAACGGCGUCUAAUACUGGAUACGAGCUGCGAAGGCAUCUUCAGCAGCUGGAAAGAACUUCGGUCAGGGAUGAGCUCGCGGCCUAUCAGCUUGUUGGUGAGGUAACGGCUCACCAAGGCGUCGACGGGUAGCCGGCCUGAGAGGGUGACCGGCCACACUGGGACUGAGAGACGGCCCAGACUCCUACGGGAGGCAGCAGUGGGAAAUAUUGCACAAUGGGCGAAAGCCUGAUGCAGCAACGCCGCGUGAGGGACGACGGCCUUCGGGUUGUAAACCUCUUUUAGCAGGGAAGAAGCGAAAGUGACGGUACCUGAAGAAAAAGCGCCGGCUAACUACGUG